ACAAAACUCGCUCUCCCCUCAGCCGUGUGCGUCCUCGAAUAGUGCUAAAUAUAUGUGGCAAAACAAAGAACAAAAUUAUUUUCUAAGCGAAAACCGGCAUGUUUUUUUCUGUCGCCAUCUUGCUCCGCCCCCAGGGUUUUCCAGAGCGGUGACGUCACGCUCGCGAGCAGCAGCAACAGGCGUCAAGCGGCGACGGGAACCAGAGGCAGGGCUCUCAAAGACGACAAAACGCUCCGAAGUGUAGUCGGAGGUCCCGAGGAAGCGCACCCGAAACCCCCCUCACGCGCCCCGGCGGUCGGUGAACACGUCGUCGAUGUUCUCUGAGAGAAAGUCUCGCGGAAGGAAAGUUUGGGAAGGCCUCUGACGUCACGCCUCUCGGGACGCUCUCGUCUCAAACGGGACGGCUUUUCUGAGCAUAACAUCAGCGACUUUAAACUCGAUCAAAGCAGCGAACAGCUCCACGGUUCGACCCGGACCGAAUAACGUCCUCAGCGCGACGCGAAAAUGAUGCCGAUGUUCCUGACUGUGUUCCUCAGUAACAAUGACCAGCACUUCACGGAGGUGCCCAUCACGCCCGAGACGGUGUGUGGAGACGUGCUGGAGCUGUGUCGGGAGCCGGCCGAGAGCAGCUGUCACCUGGCUGAGGUGUGGAGAGGAUCGGAGAGGGCGGUGGGCGAGAGCGAGAAGAUGAUGGAUCUGCUGCUGCAGUGGGGCCAGCAGAGGCCCGAGGUUCGCUUCUUCCUGCGUCGAGGCAGAGCUCCCAACCUGCUGACAGACUCCAGGACCUGGAAUCAGAAGAGGAACGGCGUCAAGAAGCCCGCGGACAGACGGCCGGAGAAUGGAGUGAGCAGCCCGUGGAUGGACAUGACUCUAGCAGAGCUGCAGGACAUGUCUGUCAGACAGCAGCGUCAGAUUGAUGCCCAGCAGCAGCUCCUGGCCUCCAAGGAGCAGCGCUUGCAUUUCCUGAAGCAGCAGGAGCACAGGCAGCUGCAGACGUCCUCGGAGCAGAAGAAGCUGCAGCAUCUGAGGGACACGGUGGAGAAGCAGGAGGCGCAGCUGAAGAUGGUGCGAGCUCUGAAGGGACAGGUGGAGCAGAAACGCCUCAGCAAUGGGAAGCUCGUUGAGCAGGUGGAACAGAUGAACAAUCUGCUCCUUCAGAAGCAGAAGGAGCUGGUGGUCGCCGUGUCUAAAGUGGAAGACCUGAACAAACAGCUGGAGACUCUAAAAAACGGCCAGCUGGAUGCUCUUCACAGUAACCACAGCUCCGUGGCCGAGCUGGACAGACUCUACAGGGAACUACAGAUGAGGAAGAACUUGAACCUGGAGCAGAGCGCUAAACUGCAGCAGCAGAGGGACAACCUCAACAAGAGGAACCAGGAGGUGGCCAGCAUGGACAAACGAGUCAGUGAGCUGCGAGAUCGCCUCUGGAAGAAGAAGGCUGCCCUACAGCAGAAAGAAAACCUUCCCGUCAGCCUGCCUUCAGAAGCCCAGACAGCGCAGCAGACUGGACCGUCCCGCGUGGCUGCUGUCGGCCCUUACAUCCAGUCCUCCACCAUGCCCAGGGGCCCCAUUAAACAGGACCUGCUCCUCAAACACGCUUACCCAGACGGCACAGCGACUGCACCGCAUCAGGACAAGAGCAGUCAGUCAGGUAAGAUGUCCUCAAAGAUGUCUAACUGGAGUUCUGGCGCUAACCUUGGGUCGUCCAGUCUGCCCCGCAUGGUGACCCAGGCAUCUAAAAACCAAGAUAACACAGACGUGCUGAAGCGGGACCCCAGGGUGCGUCCGGUCUCCAUGUUUGAGUCCGUUGAUCCACCAGCAGCUUCUUUACGGAAGAACCAGAGCAGCGAGGACCUUGCCAGAGACGCCCAGAGCCCUGUCAAGAACACGGUCAAGGUUCCUCCUCCAGUUCCCAGUAAACCGAAACAGGCCAACCUUCCUUCUGGUGGCCAGAUGGGAUACGGCAAAACGGCCGGCACCUUCCCUGGGAAGAGCAAGUCUUCCGCUCCGCAGCCGCCCGCUGGCGUCCAGUCUGGUGGUACUUUACCCCUGCCCUCCAAACUGGAGGCUCCCCCGGCGGCCACCGUACACCCCUUCAGCGCCGAGCCUCCUGGAGCCAAAGACUCCGGCGGGCAGCUCCUGCACAAGCCACAGAUGCUGACCACCAGCUCCAUCUACAGCAUGUACACACAGCCCCAGGGCGUGCAGGGAGCGCUGAGCCGAUCCCAGAACCGCGGCAGCAACUUCAUCAGCGUUUAUGGGAAGCCAGUGACCUCCUCAGGCCAGCAGUCCCAAAACCAGCACCCAGAGAACCCGUACCUGGACUCAUCCAGUGGCCCCGAAGCAGAGAAGGACCCCAGCACUGGAACCUCCGAGAGUGAGCGCAUCCCCAGACCUCUGAGUCCCACCAAACUGCUUCCCUUUAUCUCCAACCCCUACCGGCACCAGAGCGACGUCGACCUCGAGGCCCUCAGGAAGAAGCUCUACAAUGCCCCCAGACCCCUGAAGAAACGCAGCUCCAUCACGGAGCCCGAGGGCCCGGGCGGCCCCAACAUCCAGAAGCUGCUGUACCAGAAGACGACCCUGGCCGCGAUGGAGACAGCGGUGACUCCUCCAGGAGAAGAGGAGAAGGAGCCGCCAGCAGAUCCUCCGAGAGCAGAUGAAGCAGCUCUGGAGAGAGCGGAGCAGGCAGUUCCUGAGCCGCCGGAGCCCGCAGCGGCCCCUGAGAUCCAAGCAGAGGACAUGCUUCCUCCGCCUCCUCCACACCCGGCCCCGCAGCCCCUCGCUCCGCUCUCACCUCCACCUCCUCAGCCCGACAGCCCUCCUCCUCCACCUCCUCCUGACAGCUUCCUGGAGGACUUCCCUCCUUAUCCUCCUCCUCCGUACCCCAGCGGCGCCGAGCACGAGGCUCCAGAAGACAGCUUCAGCAUGAAGCCUCCGGAGGUCACCGGACAGGUCCCCUCUCCACCGGGUAAGAGGACGAAUCUGCGCAAGGCCGGGUCCGAGCGCAUCGAUCACAGCAUGAGGGUGCGCUUCAAUCCUCUGGCUCUGUUACUGGACUCAUCGCUGGAGGGAGAGUUCGAUCUGGUGCAGUGGGUCAUUUACGAGGUGGAGGACCCCAGUCAGCCUAACGACGAGGGAAUCACGGCGCUGCAUAACGCAGUGUGUGCCGGUCACACAGACAUCGUCAAGUUCCUGGUGCAGUUUGGAGUCAAUGUGAACGCCGCUGACAGUGACGGAUGGACGCCCCUGCACUGUGCCGCGUCCUGUAAUAACGUGCAGGUGUGUAAGUUCCUGGUGGAGUCGGGGGCGGCCGUGUUUGCCAUGACCUACAGCGACAUGCAGACGGCAGCGGAUAAGUGUGAGGAGAUGGAGGAGGGAUACACUCAGUGCUCGCAGUUCCUCUACGGUGAGAAAAUGACGACGCCGCUCUCUGCUUGGACCGUCAGCCCUGAUCUGAUUCAGCGUGCAGGAGAAGAUGGGCAUCAUGAACCGCGGGGUGGUGUACGGUCUGUGGGACUACGAGGGCGAGCAGGACGACGAGCUGAGCUUCAGAGAGGGUGACUGUAUGACGGUGCUGCGGCGCGAGGACGAGGACGAGACCGAGUGGUGGUGGGUGCGCUCGGCCGCCGGAGACGGAUACGUGCCCCGCAACCUGCUGGGGUUGUACCCGAGAAUUAAACCCCGUCAGCGGAGUCUGGCUUAAGUCCUUCAGAGGGAGCAGACUCUCGUCUUCCUGUCUCUUCUGUAGUUGUGUUCUGGAUGUUACACUCUUUUUGUCUUCUUUAUACCACAAAAUAAUUGCAUAGAAAUUAGCCGUUUAGAUCGUACUUUAUAUUUGUAUAUCAAGUUUUUUGUAAUAGUUGCCUGUGUUUUGUAUGGCAGGUAUUUUGCAUACAGUGUUCUGUCGGUGAUUUCUUGAAGAGUCGUACCGUGUUCGUAACGUAGGGUUCGUACGGUGAGCUCUGGAUUCAGAUCUAGUGAUUUACAGCAGCAAUCUCAAAAAAUGGCUAAAGACACAGCUUUUAUUAUACAUUAUUCUCCUGCAUCUUCCACAUCCUCGUGGACAAAUCAGCUGCAGGCCAAAUGUAACCUGAUCAAAAAUGAUUAAAAACACUGUGAAAGGUU